AGGGAAGCGAAGCCCGCAGAGCAAUUGCCGAGACCCGAUUCCAUGUCGGAUCACCUCGUCGAGCUCAUGUGUACACAGCAUCCACGCAACACAAGCAACUUAGAUGUGCGAGUCCUAGGGCAGAGUGCAAACCUAGUGCGGAAUGCACUAAGUAGGCCCCACAACAACAUUCAAAUCGUUCCAUAAUCGGUAGAGAUAGUCCUAUAAUGCUAUGAAGGAAAGCCUAAUAAUGCUAUAACCAGAUCACCUGCUGGUAGCUAUCUAACUAAUGACCAGACGCGAGAGUGUCGUAGGGUCAGGUUAAUCACGUUGUCCACGUCUGACCGCGUCUACCGUUCAGACUGUUUGUCGUCUCCAAGGCAGCCAGCGUAAAAGCCUUGACACCGUCUCAUUUCGAGUCGCCAUUAAUCAAGUCAGCGGUGGCAAACCAGCUUUGCGCACCUCCAAGUGCAGGAGCUGCUUUGCAUGCACUUCAAGAGCGGAAUACUAAACCCUGCGGUAAAUCACUGCAACCUAUUCGUCACCCCACUGGAUUCUACACGCAAAAAGUCCAACCUGCUGUCCUCUGUCGGUUGUAAUCCCGGCAAAGCUCCUCGCUAUCACACGGAUAACACAUCAGGGCACACCAUCAAAGGAGUGGCCCGUGUUCAACGUAUCAGGCGUAGCAAGAGGCAGGAGCCGACUAUGAGAAGUACAGGCCCUGGAUGAGCUGCUGCAACUGCGCCGGAUCUGUAUAUGGUGCCUGGGUCGAAGGUGAUGCCAACUCUACCGCC
rnacentral:lncRNA from 1 species